ensembl:lncRNA
GGAAGCAUUCUGACAUUGAGCAUCCCAGAGUUCUUGUGUGAUUUUUUUUUUUUAAUCCCUCAUGUUUCUUACUGAAAAUAAUAUCAGUUAAAACUUAAUUGUGCGGUUUAUGCAUCUCAUUGUCUGUGGUGAACUGCCAGGUGGGAGUAAAUAAGCACAUACAAAGAUGUUUUAUUCUUUAAGAUUAACAUGCAGUUACUUAUCUAAUUUUUCCUUCCAAAGAAUACUCCUGCCAAGCACCUGAGCUUUUUGCUAAUGUUAAUGGGAAAAGGAAUUACUGUGCUUUCUUCUUUCUUCCCACUCCCUCCUUUUUUUUUUCUUUUCAAGACUGCUGUCAAGAGAUAAACAUUUUUUUAGAUGCCCUAAUUAAAAACUGUAGUACUAUCAAAGGUCAGUAGUGACUGAGAGUGGGGUAACGUUUACAAUUUAACGGUAAACCACUUGGAAAAUUCAAGUGUGUUAAUGCUCCUCUGUUAACCAAAUUGGAGUACCAGCUGUUCUAGGAUGUAGGAUUUCCAAAUCACCUACAAAACAGCAGUCUGCCCUCCUUGAUACCACACAGAUGUUCUGAAACUUUCUGGGGGGAGGAUGCAUAAAUGGCAAUGUCAGCUUUCCCUUGCAAAGAUGUGGAUAUUGUCUGAGUUUAAUCAACAUGAAUGUAGAAUCCUUUCAUCAGAUGCCCUUCAUACUAAAGCACGAUGUUCUCUAAUUCAUCAAUUGUUCUCUGUGAAAAGUGGGCAAGAGGAGAACUGUCCAGUUCUGCCCACUGACCUUGGCUGUCUGCAGGGGUGGGCAUCCAAUGCCUCCCUGUGCAACCUGUGCCAGUGCCUCACCGCCCUUGACGUGAAACUUCUUCCUUAUAUCCCAUCUAAACCUCCCCUCUUUUAGUUAGAAUCCACUUCCCCUUGCCCUAUCACGCAGACCUCGCUACAGAGCCUGUCGUCUUUCUGCGCGAGGGGCGGGGUCCGGCACGCUGCUGCCGCCCGCUGUGCGAAAUGCGGUAAUGCUAUCGCUGGCCUCUGACGGUGGCCAUGUUGGUCGUGGGGGUCGUCGGCUUCCGGGCGGCCAUGUUGGUUGUGGGAGUGAGUCGUCGGCUUCCGGGCGGCCAUGUUGGUUGUGGGGGUCGUCUGUUUCCGGGCGGCCAUGUUGGUUGUGGGGGUCGUCUGUUUCCGGGCGGCCAUGUUCGUUGUGGGGGUCAUCUGUUUCCGGGCGGCCAUGUUGGUUGUGGGAGUGAGUCGUCUGUUUCCGGGCGGCCAUGUUGGUUGUGAGGGUCGUGAGCCCUGGGAAGAAGUGCUGCUACUGGUGGCAUCUUCUGUUCUUCUCCCAGGGCCAGCACUGAGGUCCGGGGGAUCAGGUUGCUCAGCUUCGUCCCGGCUUCAGCGUCUCCAGCGACGGGGCCGGCUUUUCCCCUGUUUCCUCCAGCAGAGCCAGGAGGCUUGGUGGCUUGGUCAAGGCAUGCCGGUCUUGAGGGCCCUCAGCAGUGUGGGGAGCACGAAGUACACACUGCUGCUGCCUGCGGCCACCCUGGCUCAGCCCCAGCAGUGCACCAAGAGCUGCCUUUGGUUCCUGAUUAUGCACACACCCACAUUUGUGGGGCCCAGCUUUGCUUAGAUACUUGCGUAGCCAUGCAGGGGCUCAGUCAGUGGUUCAGGCCAUGACUCAGCAGUUCCCGUACAGCAGAAGGGGACCUCUGCUUCUGGAAGGAUGGAGGAGAAUGUGAGGAACUCACCAGCCCUUGUUUACCGUCUGGUUUCAAAUCUGGGUGGCAGCAUGCUGAGAUAGUGUACGAAAUCAAAGGACAGCAGGCAGGUAUAGGGCUUUAUCGCUCUCUUCCUAUCUAGGCCAGCUGGUAGCAAAUUAGAUUAUACACCUGCAGCCUCCUGGAGAGACACUAAAUUAUCUGUCUGUGUACUCUUCUGUCUGGCUUUCUUGAUGUGCUGUUAAGGAGGCUCUGCAGCUCCUGCCUCUCUAGCUGCGGUGUGUCUGUCCAGUAACACAGACAGAGCUGAGCACUCCCUGAGCCUCUUUCAGUACCCUUCCGCCUCAAAUGGUGUUGUUCAUCGUGGGCUGUCACACAUGUAAUCUCAGCCUGAGGACAGUCUGAGUUAACGCUGGAGGAAGAGGGAAGUGUGUUAUUUCAGUUCUCUGUGAAGAGCCUGUAAGAAUUCAUGAAGUGCUGUUGUGCAGGAGGAGGCUGUCUCCUUGCAGCUCCUACACAGAUUGCAUUUGUUUAACCUAUCUAUGAUACACCAUGUGUCUCUGCAUUGUUUUAGCCUCUGUGUCACUCUUGUUCUGACAAAGCAGCAAAGAUGCUCCACCAGAGAGCACAUAAAGGUGAGGAAGUGAAGGACUUGGAUUUUCAUGCUUUCCCCUGCUGUGAUGCUUUGUUCAGCAGAGGCCGGACUCAUAGGUAAGCUUGUUUUCAUUUCAUUGCACUUUAAAUGGCAGGUAGUGGAAGAAGUGGCAGCGAUGAUACACACACAUCGUGAUGCUGUGCUAAGCUGCCACGAGUACUGCGGUACGAUGAUCUCAAGCAGAUAUUGAUGGCUGUUGCAUUUCUCUAUAGAAGGGACUGGGGAUGUGAGAUAGGACCUCCAGCUGGUACGGGCAAACUUACCCUCUCCUCAGCCACUAAGGAUGUGGUGCAGGACCAUGUCUGAGACCUUGCACAAGUCCUUCUGAACCACAUUUUGAGUGAUCCCUCCUGAGAAAGACUUUGCUUUGUGAGUUUGAGUUGGUGCCUCGGCACGGUGGUGGAAUUGCUGGAUCAAAUGAGAGAGGCCCGUGAGUUUGGCACAGAGCUCGUGAUGCAUUUGGCAGCGCUGGUGUUGGGUCAGGGUAAGAAGUAAGGGCCAUAAACGUGAGUGAGCCACAAAAAGAAACCCCGAACGCAGCUCGCUGGACUUCACAGGUGUUCGUGCCUCGGCAGGGGCAGGGCUAAACGCCAUUGCACGGGGUCUCACUGCAGGCGGAUCUCACUCUGCCCAACCAACGUACCGCCGCCGCACCGAGCUGCAGCCGGCUAACUGCAAUGCACCACUCCG